rnacentral:rRNA from 1 species
GACGAACGCUGGCGGCGUGCUUAACACAUGCAAGUCGAACGGAAAGGCCCUGCUUUUGUGGGGUGCUCGAGUGGCGAACGGGUGAGUAACACGUGAGUAACCUGCCCUUGACUUUGGGAUAACUUCAGGAAACUGGGGCUAAUACCGGAUAGGAGCUCCUGCUGCAUGGUGGGGGUUGGAAAGUUUCGGCGGUUGGGGAUGGGCUCGCGGCUUAUCAGCUUGUUGGUGGGGUAGUGGCUUACCAAGGCUUUGACGGGUAGCCGGCCUGAGAGGGUGACCGGCCACAUUGGGACUGAGAUACGGCCCAGACUCCUACGGGAGGCAGCAGUGGGGAAUAUUGCACAAUGGGCGGAAGCCUGAUGAAGCAACGCCGCGUGCGGGAUGACGGCCUUCGGGUUGUAAACCGCUUUCGCCUGUGACGAAGCGUGAGUGACGGUAAUGGGUAAAGAAGCACCGGCUAACUACGUG